rnacentral:rRNA from 1 species
AUCCCAUCCCGAACUCAGACGUGAAACGCUUUAGCGCCGAUGGUAGUGUGGGGUCUCCCCAUGUGAGAGUAGGACACUGUCAGGC